UACAGAGGAGCCAAGCGUUGUCCGGAUUGACUGGGCGUAAAGCGCACGCAGGCGGAUGCGCGCGUGGGGUGUGAAAUCUGGCCGCUUAACGGCCAGGCGCCAUCCCAUACGGCGCGUCUGGAGUGAUGCAGAGGUCGAUGGAAUUGCCGGUGUAGUGGUGAAAUGCGUAGAGAUGUGGAGGAACACCGAUGGCGAAGGCAGCCCCCUGGGUCAAGAUUGACGCUCAUGCACGAAAGCGUGGGGAGCAAACAGG
rnacentral:rRNA from 1 species